UCCGACUACGGAUUGACGAUCUUCGAUUUCUGCGAGGCCUCGAUUACCGCGGCCGAGGUGGCCUCAGCCAGCGCGAACGACGGUCAACCGCUCGACGCGCAGGCGGCGACAGCGAUCGCCGGCGCGAUCACGGAUUGGUUGAGUCCCCUGCCAUCGUCAAAGCCGACGCCCAUUGUCGCUGAUCUCGACCUCGUUUAUCACACUGUGAAGGCCGCGAUCACGCCAACGACAACCAUACCGGCGCGCCUCGCGAAACGCAUCAAGACGCUGGCCGGCGUUCACGCCAAGGGCGAGCUGGGAUUGCUGGAGUCUGAAGUCGAGUUCCCGCAACCGAUGUAUGAGCCACUCGCGGCGAUCUCGCAGGAUCUCAUUGUG
rnacentral:misc_RNA from 1 species